AACGAACGCUGGCGGCAGGCUUAACACAUGCAAGUCGAACGGGUGUAGCAAUACAUCAGUGGCAGACGGGUGAGUAACACGUGGGAACCUUCCUAGGGGUACGGAACAACUCAGGGAAACUUGAGCUAAUACCGUAUACGUCCGUGAGGAGAAAGAUUUAUCGCCCUUAGACGGGCCCGCGUCGGAUUAGCUAGUUGGUGGGGUAACGGCCUACCAAGGCGACGAUCCGUAGCUGAUCUUAGAGGAUGAUCAGCCACACUGGGACUGAGACACGGCCCAGACUCCUACGGGAGGCAGCAGUGGGGAAUCUUGGACAAUGGGCGCAAGCCUGAUCCAGCCAUGCCGCGUGAGUGAAGAAGGUCUUCGGAUUGUAAAGCUCUUUUGCCAGGGACGAUAAUGACGGUACCUGGAGAAUAAGCCCCGGCAAACUUCGUGCCAGCCGCCGCCGUAAAAC
rnacentral:rRNA from 1 species